rnacentral:rRNA from 1 species
GAUGAACGCUGGCGGCGUGCUUAACACAUGCAAGUCGAACGAUGAUGCCAGCUUGCUGGUGGAUUAGUGGCGAACGGGUGAGUAACACGUGCGCAACCUGCCCCUGCCUUCGGGAUAACCGCGGGAAAGCGUGGCUAAUACCGACUAUGACGCGCUAUCGCAUGGUGGUGUGUGGAGAGAUUUAUCGGUUGGGGGUGGGUUCGCGGCCUAUUAGCUUGUUGGUGGGGUGAUGGCGUACCAAGGCGCCGACGGGUGGCCGGCCUGAGAGGGUGAGGGGCCACACUGGUACUGAGAAACGGCGCAGACGCCUACGAGAGGCAGCAGUGGGGAAGAUUGCACAACGAGCGCAAGCCGGAUGCUGCGACGCCGCGUGGGGGAUGACGGCCGUCUUGUUGUAGACCUCUUUCAGUAGGGAAGAAGGCCUUCGUUUUGACGGUACCUGCAGAAGAAGCGCCGGCUAACUACGUG